AAUUAAUGCAACUCUAUGCAUAGAAAUCUAACUCUUGUUCCAGGCUAGCUAAUGAUGACCCAAUGAUGCUGCUGGAAGUGGUGUUACAAAAAGUGGUCAUGUUGGCUCUUGUUCCAGGCUAGCUAAUGAUGACCCAAUGAUGCUGCUGGAAGUGGUGUUACAAAAAGUGGUCAUGGUGGCUCUUGUUCCAGGCUAGCUAAUGAUGACCCAAUGACGCUGCAGGAAGUGGUGUUACAAAAAACUGAAGUGGUCAUGCUGGUUGGAGUAACCCUUUAAUGAUAAGCGUAGCAUGGGCAACACUCUACUGGUGGUCCCUCUGGCUCUUUAUUUGUUUUGCAAGUGCUUUUCCAGAAAUAACACUUUGCUCUUGUUUUCAAGUCUGUCUACGGACGCCAGAAGAUUCUAGAAUGCAACACAUUGUGACAUGCAAUGCACGCUACCUAAAACAAACCUUAUGUUGCCCUACAUACUAAGAUGGACUUUUCAAUAAGCAU